GCGCCGGGCGGUAGUAGUAGCUGUGCUCUUUGGGGUCCAGGCGCCGCGGCGGGAUGUAGCUGAAGGCGGACUGCGCCGAGACGGGCGGCGGCCUGGGCUUGCCCCGCAGCGUGGACGCGGUGGUCUCCUCCUCGUCGUCCUCCAUGCCGCCACCGUCCAGCGCCCCCGCCUUGGCCGCGGUCCGUCCCGCCCGCCCAGGGGCCCAGUCGGAGUCUGCAGGCCUCAGGUUGCUCAGCGCCAGCGUCUAGCCCGCGUCUGUGUUCGGUCGUUGCCUGGAAACCGCCGCCUGGCGACCCGGAGCUGCCCUGCAGCAUUCCCGCUCCAGGGUGGAGCGACCCUCCCCUCCUCCCUCCCGGCCCCUCGACUACACCUGGGGUCUCUCCUUCCUUCCUCCUCGGGAGGAGCCCGACUGGGAGACGCCGCGGGGACUACCCAUUUCCAGCCCGCUCACCUUUCCCAUGCAGCAGCCCCUGCUUCACUCACUGAUCACUCCUUCGCGAGACCAUUAGUGACUGAGCACCUAGCGCAUGGUGUGUCAGGAGCUGGAGAUUGAGCCUUGAACGGAGCAGGCCUUGUCCACAGGAAGCUUACAGUCUGGAGAAGACACAUGAAAGACGCGAAGAAGCCAAAUGACUUGCCGAGGCUCCAGGGCAGCGCUGUCCAAUAGAAACAUGAUGAGAGCCACGUGUGUCGUUUCUUAUUUGACUCAGAGGAACUGACUGCUUCCGUUUUCCCAGAAUUCUAUCAAAUAUCUUUCAAGUGUCCACAUGUACCCAAGCGACGCACAUUCCUCACAUAGAGGAAGGCAAGGAAAGGUAAAGAAGACUGCCUGUGUUGUUCAGGCAGAACUGUCACCACACUCUUCCACAGCUCCUGCCUGCCUGCCAUCUACACACACACUCACAACACACACUCAGAGAGGAUCCACUCUCUCC
rnacentral:lncRNA from 10 species